AUUGAACGCUGGCGGCAGGCCUAACACAUGCAAGUCGAACGAGUGGCGGACGGGUGAGUAAUGUCUGGGCAACUGCCUGAUGGAGGGGGAUAACUACUGGAAACGGUAGCUAAUACCGCAUACCAUCGGAUGUGCCCAGAUGGGAUUAGCUAGUAGGUGGGGUAAAGGCACACCUAGGCGACAAACCCUAGCUGGUCUGAGAGGAUGAACAGCCACACUGGAACUGGUACACGGUCGAUACUCCGACGGGAGGCAGCAGUGGGGAAUAUUGCACGAUUGGCGCAAGCCUGAUGCAGACAUGCGGCGUGUAUGAAGAAGGCCUUCGGGUUGUAAAGUACUUUCAGCGGGGAGGCGUGACCCGCAGAAGAAGCACCGGCUAACUCCGUGCCAGCCGCCGCGGUAAUUC
rnacentral:rRNA from 1 species